rnacentral:rRNA from 1 species
AUUGAACGCUGGCGGCAGGCCUAACACAUGCAAGUCGAACGAGUGGCGAACGGGUGAGUAACGCAUCGGAACCUACCGAGUAAAGGGGGAUAACUGUCCGAAACGGCAGCUAAUACCGCAUAUCAUUCGAGGUGCCCAUGUCCGAUUAGCUGGUUGGUGGGGUAAAGGCCCACCAAGGCGACGAUCCGUAGCGGGUCUGAGAGGAUGACCCGCCACACUGGGACUGAGACACGGCCCAGACUCCUACGGGAGGCAGCAGUGGGGAAUUUUGCACAAUGGGCGCAAGCCUGAUCCAGCCAUGCCGCGUGUCUGAAGAAGGCCUUCGGGUUGGAAAGGACUUUUGUCAGGGAGGCGGUACCUGAAGAAUAAGCACCGGCUAACUCCGUGCCAGCAGCCGCGGUAAUUC